rnacentral:rRNA from 1 species
CCUACGGGAGGCAGCAGUGGGGAAUUUUCCGCAAUGGGCGCAAGCCUGACGGAGCAAGACCGCGUGGGGGAGGAAGGUCUGUGGAUUGUAAACCCCUUUUGUCAAGGAAGAACACAAUGACGGUACUUGACGAAUCAGCAUCGGCUAACUCCGUGCCAGCAGCCGCGGUAAUACGGAGGAUGCAAGCGUUAUCCGGAAUGAUUGGGCGUAAAGCGUCCGCAGGUGGUUAUACAAGUCUGCUGUUAAAGUGCGGAGCUUAACUUCGUAAAGGCAGUGGAAACUGUAUGACUAGAGAGUGAUAGGGGCAGAGGGAAUUCCCAGUGUAGCGGUGAAAUGCGUAGAGAUUGGGAAGAACACCGGUGGCGAAAGCGCUCUGCUGGGUCAUAUCUGACACUGAGGGACGAAAGCUAGGGGAGCGAAAGGGAUUAGAUACCCCUGUAGUCCUAGCCGUAAACGAUGGAUACUAGGCGUUGUUACGUAUCGACCGACGAGUGCGACGCUACGACGUAGUAUCCGCCGUCGGUAGUACGCGUCGCAGAGUAGAACGUACAAGAAGUAGUAGACGNGAGACGAGCGACGACGACGACGACGGAGGAGGAG